rnacentral:snRNA from 1 species
GUUCUCUUGGGCAACACAUGUACCAAAAUUGGAACGAUACAGAGAUUAGCAUGGCCUCUGGGCAAGGAUGACACGAAAAUUCGUGAAGCGUUCCAUAGUUUU